GUGGCGAGUGGCGAACGGGUGAGUAACAUAUCGGAACGUACCGAGCAGUGGGGGAUAACUAAUCGAAAGAUUAGCUAAUACCGCAUAUUUUCCGAGGAAGAAAGCAGGGGACCAUUUGGCCUUGCGCUGUUUGAGCGGCCGAUAUCUGAUUAGCUAGUUGGUGGGGUAAAGGCCUACCAAGGCGACGAUCAGUAGCGGGUCUGAGAGGAUGAUCCGCCACACUGGGACUGAGACACGGCCCAGACUCCUACGGGAGGCAGCAGUGGGGAAUUUUGGACAAUGGGCGCAAGCCUGAUCCAGCCAUGCCGCGUGUCUGAAGAAGGCCUCCGGGUUGUAAAGGACUUUUGUCAGGGAAGAAAAGGGCGGGGUUAAUACCCCUGUCUGAUGACGGUACCUGAAGAAUAAGCACCGGCUAACUACGUGCCAGCAGCCGCGGUAAUACGUAGGGUGCGAGCGUUAAUCGGAAUUACUGGGCGUAAAGCGGGCGCAGACGGUUACUUAAGCAGGAUGUGAAAUCCCCGGGCUCAACCUGGGAACUGCGUUCUGAACUGGGUGACUAGAGUGUGUCAGAGGGAGGUAGAAUUCCACGUGUAGCAGUGAAAUGCGUAGAGAUGUGGAGGAAUACCGAUGGCGAAGGCAGCCUCCUGGGAUAACACUGACGUUCAUGCCCGAAAGCGUGGGUAGCAAACAGGAUUAGAUACCCUGGUAGUCCACGCCCUAAACGAUGUCGAUUAGCUGUUGGGCAGCAUGACUGCUUAGU
rnacentral:rRNA from 1 species